rnacentral:rRNA from 1 species
CCUACGGGUGGCAGCAGUGAGGAAUAUUGGUCAAUGGGCGCUAGCCUGAACCAGCCAAGUAGCGUGAAGGAUGACGGCCCUAUGGGUUGUAAACUUCUUUUAUAGGGGAGUAAAGUGCAGUGGGUAUACUGCUUUGCAUGUACCUUAUGAAUAAGGAUCGGCUAACUCCGUGCCAGCAGUCGCGGUAAUACGGAGGAUCCGCUGGUUGUCCGGAUUUAUUGGGUGUAAAGGGAGCGUAGGCGGGUUGUUAAGUCAGUUGUGAAAGUUUGGGGCUCAACCGUAAAAUUGCAGUUGAUACUGGCGUCCUUGAGUACAGUAGAGGUAGGCGGAAUUCGUGGUGUAGCGGUGAAAUGCUUAGAUAUCACGAAGAACUCCGAUUGCGAAGGCAGCCUGCUGGACUGCAACUGACGCUGAUGCGCGAAAGUGUGGGUAUCAAACAGGAUUAGAUACCCUGGUAGUC